UCCAGGAUGUCUGAGUGGUUAAGGCGUUGGACCCAAUGGGCAUCAGGCCUUGUGGGUUCGAAUCCCACUCCUGGUA
rnacentral:tRNA from 1 species